UACGGAGGGGGCUAGCGUUGUUCGGAAUUACUGGGCGUAAAGCGCACGUAGGUGGAUUGCUAAGUCAGGGGUGAAAUCCCGAGGCUCAACCUCGGAACUGCCUUUGAUACUGGCAAUCUCGAGUCCGGGAGAGGUGAGUGGAAUUCCUAGUGUAGGGGUGAAAUUCGUAGAUAUUAGGAAGAACCCCAGUGGCGAAGGCGGCUCACUGGCCCGGUACUGACACUGUGGUGCGACAGCGUGGGGAGCAAACAGG
rnacentral:rRNA from 1 species